rfam:Gossypium hirsutum cultivar TM-1 unplaced genomic scaffold scaffold568.1, whole genome shotgun sequence
UGUUAAAAAAAUUGUCUAUUUGUACUAUUAAAAAUUUGUGCGACUGACAAAAUAAUCAGACAGUGACGCUGUACCUUGUACAAUGACCAAUUUUUAACAAUAGAAAUAGAUAAAAUUUUUAACA